rnacentral:lncRNA from 10 species
CUGCUGCUGCUGCUGGGGCUUCAGCGACAUGGAGGAGCUGCGGCCGCUGAGCGCAUCGGAGGGCGGGCGCGCCGAGGCGCCGGGUGGGAGCGGAGGAUCUUCACUUCUGCGGGGACCUAGUUUGCCCCCACCUGAUGCAACCCAGAAAAUGGACUGACUGCGAGUGCCUUGGGGCGGAGAAUGUGUCUUGCUACGUGUAAAGCACCUAGAACCCUGCCAGAUUCAGGGGACACAGCAUCCUGCCGUUUUCCUGCCGUCCCCCGCCCGCCACACAGUAGGCGC